rnacentral:pre_miRNA from 1 species
GAUUUCAACUGAAAUGUCAUCAACAACAAAGCUGUAUAACUCAUCAAUAUCUAUAACUUCUAUUUUGGUCGUUUCUUCAUCCGACAAAUAACAUUCUCACAAAAUUUAUAAAACUAUAACAGAUAUAAACUAUAAGAGAGAGAUGUAAAUUUUGUGAGCAAUGUUACUAUCACUUUGUCGGAUGAAGAAACGACCAAAAUAGAAGUUAUAGAUAUUGAUGUGUUAUACAACUUUGUUGUUGAUGACUUUUUCAGUUGAAAUC